rnacentral:rRNA from 1 species
AAUGAACGCUGGCGGCGUGCUUAACACAUGCAAGUCGCACGAGAACGCUUUAGCUUGCUAGAGCUAGUAAAGUGGCGCACGGGUGAGUAACGCGUGGGUAAUCUACCCCGAAUUUGGGAUAACGUUGCGAAAGCGACGCUAAUACCGGAUGACAUCUUGACAGCUUUGGUUGUUGAGAUCAAAGGUGGCCUCUACAUGUAAGCUACUGUUUGGGGAUGAGCCCGCGUACCAUUAGCUAGUUGGUAGGGUAACGGCCUACCAAGGCAACGAUGGUUAGCUGGUCUGAGAGGAUGAUCAGCCACACUGGAACUGACACACGGUCCAGACUCCUACGGGAGGCAG